rnacentral:rRNA from 1 species
UACGUAGGGGGCAAGCGUUAUCCGGAUUUACUGGGUGUAAAGGGAGCGUAGACGGCGAUGCAAUCCAGAUGUGAAAGCCCGGGGCUCAACCCCGGGACUGCAUUUGGAACUGUGUGGCUGGAGUGUCGGAGAGGCAAGUGGAAUUCCUAGUGUAGCGGUGAAAUGCGUAGAUAUUAGGAGGAACACCAGUGGCGAAGGCGGCUUGCUGGACGAUGACUGACGUUGAGGCUCGAAAGCGUGGGGAGCAAACAGG